GGUUGAAGGUGUUAUUGGUCAGCUUGAGCUUGUGGAAGGAUAUCAGAUACUGCAUCCCCAGCAGCAGGAGAAUUCAGCAGCACGUUCUGCACCUUGGAGUUCAGACCCGUGACUUUGCAGCACGGAAACACAAGCCUGGGAAACUCAGACAUAAAUUGCCAAUAAACACAUUUAAUGAAGGCAGACAGCGAAUGCAGGCCUGGGUAUAUAGGAUCGGGUCAUUCUGCUUCAUUCCUGCACUCUACCUGCCGGAUUUGGUAAUCACCAUCUCUGUUCCUAUUUGCCGGAACCUGUCCCACGGAUCCCGGACCUGCAGGCCUCUCGUUGGGGGCCCGGCUCCAUCCCAAGGCGGUGUCGCUCCAUGCCGCCCAGCGGCACACAAAUUGGGUUUUUAAUACCCACACCGUUUUUGCAUCUAUUACAUAAGCAAUUCCACCACAAUAUAUCAUUAUAUAAAACGAUUAUGCUGAAAACAUAUUUUUUGCAAUCCAUUACAGGACACAAUAUUGCCUUUACGAAGGAAUAAUGUAAAGAGAUCAAGUGCUUAAGGUCUGUUACUCAUAAUCCAUAAUUUGUGCAUAUGCAUAAAUGACAUAACCAUCCAUGACAAUGUUAAUUAAAUUAGAGAAUGUGGAAUAUCUCUCUGUCCAUGGAAACUUACCCGUUGGGCACUAAGUAGAGUCCUUUAGCUGAGGUUUCAUGGGAAAGGGACAGUCACUGAAUGCCCUUUCCUCGUAUAAAACAUGCCGUAGCACUUCCUGCUGCAGAUUACUAAUUUCCACUGGACAUCUGAUGGAUGCAGAAAUAUGCUUAAUCCCGAAAACCUUCUCUGGUGAUGUGGUGCUGGUGUGGGAAGCUGGUCGGGGUGGUUGGGCUUUCUUUGAUGUCCCGUUCCUGUCUCUCACAGUCUGGGAUUGAUUCGGGCCACAUCAGAGGCACGGCUGCACUUCAAAACCCCUCCUGCAGGCGUUAAUCGUUAAUCACCUGAGCAGCUGUCCUGCCAUCACUACAGGAAGCCGGGCCAGCAGACUGCUUUCCUGGCAGAGUUCACGUCUCUCCCUACUGCCUCAUUUCAUCAGUCCUGCUGUCCUGUUCCGGUCUGUCAUGGCUCUUUCUGGCACGGUGUGAUGGUGCUUCCCGAUCCGGGAUCUCCUUUGGGAAAGAAGAAGUAGAAAUAAACACGUAUAUUCAUUUCCCAAACAGCACCUAGCAUAUUGCUAUACAUACUAUAUAUACUAUACAUACAUGCUAUACAGACAAGUAUGCUUAGGGCAGGUCAUGAAGCGUACACUACCUCGGACUGACACAUUGUUCACAUUGUACUCAGACACUCACACUGUAAGAGGAUGGCUGAUUCUUUUUGUUUGUUGUUCUUAUUUCUUAUUUAUUAC